UGUUUCGGCAAGGGGGUCAUCCCGACUUACCAACCCGAUGCAAACUGCGAAUACCGGAGAAUGUUAUCACGGGAGACACACGGCGGGUGCUAACGUCCGUCGUGAAGAGGGAAACAACCCAGACCGCCAGCUAAGGUCCCAAAGUCAUGGUUAAGUGGGAAACGAUGUGGGAAGGCCCAGACAGCCAGGAUGUUGGCUUAGAAGCAGCCAUCAUUUAAAGAAAGCGUAAUAGCUCACUGGUCGAGUCGGCCUGCGCGGAAGAUGUAACGGGGCUAAACCAUGCACCGAAGCUGCGGCAGCGACACUAUGUGUUGUUGGGUAGGGGAGCGUUCUGUAAGCCUGUGAAGGUGUGCUGUGAGGCAUGCUGGAGGUAUCAGAAGUGCGAAUGCUGACAUAAGUAACGAUAAAGCGGGUGAAAAGCCCGCUCGCCGGAAGACCAAGGGUUCCUGUCCAACGUUAAUCGGGGCAGGGUGAGUCGACCCCUAAGGCGAGGCCGAAAGGCGUAGUCGAUGGGAAACAGGUUAAUAUUCCUGUACUUGGUGUUACUGCGAAGGGGGGACGGAGAAGGCUAUGUUGGCCGGGCGACGGUUGUCCCGGUUUAAGCGUGUAGGCUGGUUUUCCAGGCAAAUCCGGAAAAUCAAGGCUGAGGCGUGAUGACGAGGCACUACGGUGCUGAAGCAACAAAUGCCCUGCUUCCAGGAAAAG
rnacentral:rRNA from 1 species